CUGUUCUGCUGGCAUCCACAUCUGUGGAUAACUCUAGGGGAGCAGUCCUACUGAACAUAUACAGAAAAAUGUUUGAGAUCCUCAUGCAGUGGUGCAAAACAUAUAACAGAGAUUUUCAAAAGGCCACCACCAAAAACCACUGCUUCAGUAGCAGUUCUGAGGAGCAUUCACAGAAAAACAGAAGAACUUGAAACACAGCUACCAACUGCUGCUAUGGUAACAACCCGGACAGUGAGGCCUUAAAAAUAAACACAAUUAUUGCAGAAGAUGGAUUCUUCUU
rnacentral:lncRNA from 1 species